rnacentral:rRNA from 1 species
UACGAAGGGGGCUAGCGUUGCUCGGAAUCACUGGGCGUAAAGCGCACGUAGGCGGAUUGCUAAGUCAGGGGUGAAAUCCUGGAGCUCAACUCCAGAACUGCCUUUGAUACUGGCGACCUUGAGUCCGGGAGAGGUGAGUGGAACUGCGAGUGUAGAGGUGAAAUUCGUAGAUAUUCGCAAGACACCAGUGGCGAAGGCGGCUCACUGGCCCGGUACUGGACGCUGAGGUGCGAAAGCGUGGGGAG